rnacentral:snoRNA from 1 species
ACUUAGUGAUUCAGGAAUUAAAUUAUCUUGUAGUUAAACCUUUCCCAUACUUUAUACAAGGGCUCACCAUUGAGUUGAUGAAAGUUUGUGAUCUCAUCACUUAAUAA